AGGGAAUCUUCGGCAAUGGGCGAAAGCCUGACCGAGCAACGCCGCGUGAAUGAUGAAGGCCUUCGGGUUGUAAAAUUCUGUUAUAAGGGAAGAACGACUUUAGUAGGAAAUGGCUAAAGUGUGACGGUACCUUAUGAGAAAGCCACGGCUAACUACGUGCCAGCAGCCGCGGUAAUACGUAGGUGGCAAGCGUUAUCCGGAAUUAUUGGGCGUAAAGAGCGCGCAGGUGGUUGAUUAAGUCUGAUGUGAAAGCCCACGGCUUAACCGUGGAGGGUCAUUGGAAACUGGUCGACUUGAGUGCAGAAGAGGGAAGUGGAAUUCCAUGUGUAGCGGUGAAAUGCGUAGAGAUAUGGAGGAACACCAGUGGCGAAGGCGGCUUCCUGGUCUGUAACUGACACUGAGGCGCGAAAGCGUGGGGAGCAAAC
rnacentral:rRNA from 1 species